UUUAAUCUCGUUUGCGGGGAAAGAAUAAAACUUGGGCUCGAACAACUCAUUUUUAGGCCUAAUUUUCGGACCUAGCCCAUAAUAACCCAAGCCCAAUACCUCUAAAAUCCUAGACUUAGACUAUAAAAGGACCCUAGACCUAACGCCUAAAAGGCGGGGGACAUAGAGAAAAACAAGAAAAGAAGAAAAAAAAACAGUGGGCAGCAGCAUCAUAAAAAGAAAAAACGCAGCUGCCUCAUGCGAGCAGCUGCUGCUGAUCUUCUUCCUCCCAAACAAACCCCUUCUUCUUCACAAAAUUCUCAGUUGCUCACCACCUCCAAACCACCACUAAACUCCAUUUUUAGCCAAGAAAGUAACCUGAAAACUCCAUGAACAUUAGUUAAAAUCUCCAGCAAAAACAUGUAGAGCACCAUUGUUAGCUGCCUCUUUGAAGUAAAAAAACAAUAGCUUUUUAGCUGCAAAAAUCACAAAAAAUAGCCUCCAAAACAGCAAAAAACGCAGCUAAAAUCUGCCAAAAAAUGCAGCAAAACUAGUUGUAAAGCUGGUGAAAAAAAGCCCCAAAAUGGUAGCUGAAAAUCUGCUCAAAUCAGUUGAAAAUAGCCCUUCGAAAUCAGCAAAUCAGCUGCGAAAAUGAUUAAAAAACACAACCAUGAAACUCCUCAAAAUCCCACCUGAAACCAACGACUUUUUCUCCACGAAGCCCUGCAGAUCUUAACCAAAAAUGGAGUAGAUCAAGUGAAAUCUUCUGAAGGUCCGUUCGAGUCCAGCUAAGGUCCUGUUCGCGUUUUCGUUUCUGGCCGUUUGUCGGGUUGUCAAUUUCCUCCUCAUUUUGUACAUUGCCGAAUGUUUGAGUCAAUUCUGGAAAGGAAAUUAUCAAAGGAUCUAUAUCAGGUACAUCUAAUGACCGAUGUGGUGUUGGUUCAGAGAAUGUAGCAAAUAGAGGUUCGUAUCACUAUCAGGUUAGAAUAAGAUUCGUUAUCUUUCUUUGGAGUGAAAAUUGACUCCCAGUUAUUUCCGUAAUAUUUAGGAGUUAGACUACGUAGAAGAGCCCCCCUGCAUGUUAUUGGAUCACAACCGAAUAUGUUGCUUUCAAAGUUGUCCCAAACUUUAAAUUUUAUGCUGCAAAAAGAUUUCAAUAUGAACCCCCUGGAUUCUGUUGCAAUAAAAGUUCAAUCAAGCUUACUUCACAUGAAAUGCCUAUAGAGCUACGAGAAUUAUUUUUGGGUGCUACUGAAGAGUCUGACCAUUUCCGAACAUAUGUUAGGACAUACAAUAACAUGUUUGCAUUUACUUCGCUCGGGGUAAAAUAUGACAAAGACUUAGCUAAGAGAAAUCAUGGUAUCUAUACAUUUAGAGUUCAAGGAAAAAUAUAUCACUUUAUAGAUGAUUUAUAUCCUGCGAAUGAGAAAGCAAGAAAUUUACAGUUAUACUUCUACGACAAUGAAAAUGAGGUAGCAAACAGAAUUGCUUGUUCAACUAGAGUACAUGAGUCAAUGAUCAGAAAAUUGAUGAAUAUACUACAAAAUAAUCCGUAUAGUGUUUUCUUGAAAUCUUUGGUAGAUGUUCCGGAAUUGUCGAACUUUUAUAUUGCGCUCAAAUGUGACUCAUGUUUAGAUCAACGAGUAUAUAACUUACCUACUGCAUCUGAAGUUGCAGCAAUAAUGGUGGAAGAAGGCGUUCAUAUUUCCAUACCUCACAUUCAAAUUUAUACUCACAGCAAUAAAAGCCAAUUAGUAAACUAUUACUAUGGAUGUUAUGAUCCCUUACAAUACCCACUAUUAUUUUCAUAUGGUCAAGAUGGGUGACACUGUGGUAUAAAGAAAAUAGUACAACCAUAGAAUACUACUAGAUGUCGUGUCUACUGUGAACAGGAAAAUUUAUCAAGUGUUGCAAACAUGUGUUUAAUUGACAAUUUUCUUGAUAUGGAAGCUCAGGUACUAGAACAACAAAGGAAAAAAGAAAUACUGUCUCUUGUCGUGAAUAUUAUUGUUAUAAAAUUUAAAUAAGAGAUGAUGAGACUGAUGAAAUCUUACAUAUUGGAAGGAUAUUCCAACAAUAUGUCGUAGAUGUAUUCAUAAAACUUGAAACACAACGACUAGACUUCUUCUCUUUCAAUCUAGACUUGUUUAGAAUUGAAGUUUUGCAAGGUAUUCUUGAUGUCUUAAGACAAGGUGAAAGAGAUGCUUCUAGAAUCGGAAAACAAACUUUCCUUCCUGUUACAUUUACGGGGGACCAAGAGAUAUGCGCCAGCGAUAUAUGGAUGCUAUUGCUUUGGUACAACAUUUUGGAACACCUGACUUAUUUCUAACGAUGACAUGCAACCCAUUAUGGCCAGAAAUAAAAGAACAUUUGUUAUCUACCGAUGAGGCACAAAAUAGACCUGACUUAAUUAGUCGAGUAUUUAGAGCAAAAUUGGAAGAGCUAAAAAUGAUAUAUUAAAAAGAAAUAUAUUUGGAAAGGUUGCUGCUUUUAUGUACACUGUAGAAUUCCAUAAACAUGGUCUUCCACAUGCACAUUUCCUUAUUAUUCUUGCUAAUGAAUACAAAUUGUUGACACCUGAGUCUUACGACACAGUUGUUUGUGCUGAAUUACCUGAUCGAGAUAAAGAGCCUUACUUAUACUCACUUAUUGUACAUCAUAUGACGCACGAUCCUUGUGGUCAUUUGAAUCUUGCAAAUUCAUGCAUGAAAAAUGGAUAUUGUAAAUUCAACUACCCUAAAGAUUUUGCUGAUCGAACAUCAAAAGGAAAAAAAAUCUUAUCUAAUUUACAAAAGACGAUAUACAGGUGAAGCAAUAAAAAUUAGAGAAAAAUUCCUCGAUAAUUCAUGGGUGGUAUCAUAUAAUCCUUUUUUACUUGACAAGUUUAACUGUCAUAUGAAUAUCGAGAUAUGCUUAGAUAUUAAAGUUGUCAAGUAUCUUUACAAGUACAUAUAUAAAAGGUCAUGACAAAAUUUAUUUUUCUGUACAUGACAAUGAUAAAGACAAAGAGAUUGAUGAAAUAAAAGAAUAUCAACCUGCUAGAUGGGUAUUUCCACCCGAAGCUACAUAGCAUUUAUUUGGUUUUUCUAUUAGUGAGAUGACACCAAGUGUUUAUCAUCUUCAAUUACACCUUGAAGGACAACAAUAUGUUUCUUUGAAAAGCACUGAGAGUAUAAAUGCAAUUUUAAAAAAACCUAUAAUUAGAAAAACAAUGUUGACAGAAAAUUUUGUCAUGAACCAAACAGAUGAUUAUGCUAUAGAACUUAAGCUACUAUAUAAAGCGUUUCCAGAAUACUUUGUCUGGUCAGUUACAGACAAGACAUGGACACGUCGAAAAUAACGUACCGUUAUUGGGCGCGUUGUGACAUGUCAUCCAACAGAAGGUGAGACAUAUUAUCUCAAACUAUUAUUACUGAAUGUGAGAGGACCAACAUCAUAUGAAGAUCUUCGUACUGUAAAUGGAAAAUGUUAUAUUACAUUUAGAGAGGCUGCUGAAAAAAGAGGAUUAUUACAUUCUGACAACAGUUUGGUUGACUGUAUGAUUGAAGCUGCAAGCUAUCAAUUGCCAUAUAGUUUAAGACGAUUAUUUGCUACGCUAUUGGUAUAUUGUACUCCUACUAAUCCAAAAGAGUUAUGAGAACAAUUUGAAGACUCAAUGUCCGAAGACUUCAAACGCUUGCCAAAUAAUGGAUUUAAAAAUAUUCAUCAUAGAGUCCUGAACCAGAUCAAUGAUGAACUACACUCGAUGGGACACGACAUUAACGAGUACAAGCUUGUUGCAGAAAACAUUAGAGCUUCUACAAUUGUAAAAGAGGUAAAAGAAGUUCAUUUUGAGAGAAGCCUAAGAGUUUCCUAAGAAGAUUUGUUAUUAGAAGUUCAUUAUACAGAUCAACGAAGAGCAUACAAUAUGAUUGUUGAUAGAAUAUUUUCCAACAAAUCGGGAGCUUUUUUAUUGACGGACUAGGAGGAACUGGUAAAACUUUCUUAUGUCGAAGUUUGUUGGCUACGGUAAGAUCUAAGGGAUUUGUAGCACUAGCAACUGCAACUUCUGGUGUUGCAGCUUCUAUUCUUCCUGGAGGGCGAACAACUCAUUCGCGCUUUAAGAUCCCUAUUGGUAUUGAUGAAAAUAUUGGUUGCAAUAUCAGUAAGCAAAGUUCACUUGCAUGUUUAAUUCGGGACGCAAAAUUAAUUGUAUGGGAUAAGGCAUCAAUGGCUAAACGGAAAAUGAUUGAAGCUUUUGAUUUACUUUUGAAGGAUCUAAUGGAUACUAAGAUGCUCUUUGGUGGAAAAGUAGUUGUUUUUGGAGGUGAUUUUAGACAAACUCUUCCAGUUGUUAGAAAUG